rnacentral:rRNA from 1 species
UUCCACGGAGAGUUUGAUCCUGGCUCAGGAUGAACGCUGGCGGCGCGCCUAACACAUGCAAGUCGAACGAGUAAGACGCCUUCGGGCGUGGA